UCAGUAACAAAGAUUCAUCCU
rnacentral:miRNA from 2 species